rnacentral:tRNA from 1 species
GGAGAGGUGCUGGAGUGGACGAUCAGGUUAGUCUUGAAAACUAAUAAGACGGCAACGUCUUCGUGAGUUCGAAUCUCACCCUCUCCGCCA